rnacentral:rRNA from 1 species
GAUGAACGCUGGCGGCGUGCCUAAUACAUGCAAGUCGAGCGAACAGAUGAGGAGCUUGCUCCUCUGACGUUAGCGGCGGACGGGUGAGUAACACGUGGAUAACCUACCUAUAAGACUGGGAUAACUUCGGGAAACCGGAGCUAAUACCGGAUAAUAUAUUGAACCGCAUGGUUCAAUAGUGAAAGACGGUUUUGCUGUCACUUAUAGAUGGAUCCGCGCCGCAUUAGCUAGUUGGUAAGGUAACGGCUUACCAAGGCAACGAUGCGUAGCCGACCUGAGAGGGUGAUCGGCCACACUGGAACGGGGACACGGUCCAGACUCCUACGGGAGGCAGCAGUCGGGAAUCUUCCGCAAUGGGCGAAAGCCUGACGGAGCAACGCCGAGUGAGUGAUGAAGGUCUUCGGAUCGUAAAACUCUGUUAUUAGGGAAGAACAAAUGUGUAAGUAACUAUGCACGUCUUGACGGUACCUAAUCAGAAAGCCACGGCUAACUACGUG